rfam:Anaerosporobacter mobilis DSM 15930 genome assembly, contig: EJ17DRAFT_scaffold00003.3
UAACGAAACACCUCUAGUACUUCUUAUGUGUACAUAAUAGCCAAGGAAGGUGAGGCAUGGAUGCCGAGCCAGCCUGAGCUGAGGCAGGAUGCCGAAUCGAUGGCGGUUCCGUAUCUACUGUAUAAACUCACAGUACACAUAAAGAAGUACUUAGGUGUAAAGUGU